rnacentral:rRNA from 1 species
AUGAAGUUCACCUAUGUGCUGGCUGGCUGGGAAGGGUCGGCACAUGAUGAUAACAUCCAUAGCGACAGCUUGAGUCGUGCUGAUGGCAUCAACAUCCCCAAUGGCAAGUUCUACCUAGACGCGGGCUAUGCAUGUCGGCGAGGUAUUCUUCCACCCUUCAGAAAAAUUAGGUACAAUCUGAACGAGUUUGCUGGUAGGAACUAUCCUAGGACUUCACAGGAGCUGUUCAAUCUCACACACUCUAACCUUGGAAUUACUGUUGAGAGGGCCUUUGGAGCUAUGAAGAACAUGUUUAAGAUCCUAGAUCAGAAGCUCUUCCCCACUUUUCCCACUCAGGUUAAGCUUUUUCUUUCUUGUUGCAUUCUGCAAAACUGGAUCCUGCAAUGGAGUGUUGAUGAACUGGUGCCUGACGAAGAAGAUGUGAUGGAAGACGAUGUUGUUAGCUCCGGCCAUGGUGUGGAGGAAUUUGACAACGAAGUCCGGAAGAACAAAAGGAUGGAGUGGGCACAGGCAAUGUGGGAUAACAGAAGUUAG